GGGAAGUGGUCUUCGUCUGGUGGAAGAACAGCGGAGAUCUUGGGCCACAGAGACAUUGUCAUUGACGAGGAGGUCUGAGGAGCAGAAUGUCAAGUUUCUAUUUCAUCUUCUGGAAUUGACAUCAUCACUCUUUUGAAGGGGACUUGGAGGAGCAAAAUGAGGCACACGCGGGCGGGAAAGGAGGUGAUUGACGCCACCCGAUCCACAUGCAAAUAUUUCAAUUCACGCUGAUGUCAUGUCAGUGUGUUGUGUGUGGCGGGAGAAGUUUGUUUACCAGCAGAGUGCAGUGUUGUGGCAGCCAAGUGCUCCUCCCUGGUUGUCUUGUCGUGGCUGCGGGUUGUGUGUGUCGUCGUUUCGCCCUCCCCUGUCAAGGCGCAUUAUGCAAUAUUAGGACCGUGUAAAUAAAAGCCCACCUGUCUCCACAAGGAUUUUUCCACCAGGAGCAUCCUGUGCCGGUGCAGAAUUGAUAUAUUAAGGUCGCGAAGCCUGCGGUGACAAAUAACAAGCGGCGCCAUCUGGGCGACUUUGCCUCACAUUAGCCGGUAAUGAACAUUAAUGUCGCGAAGAGGGUCACCAAGCAGCUCGAGAGGCGAGAGCUCCCACGUUAUGGUCCCCUCGCCCCCUGGAGAACGCUCGCCUGCUUUCUCGCCGGCUGCAGUCAAAGUAUGCUUCCAAGCUUUAAGAAUCAAAUAUCUAGGAGACACAUUCGAUGGUACCUCGCCAGUGAAAAGCCAAAAGUUGCUGGUUUUCUCCCCUGGCUCACCCAAGCUCCUUUUCCGCAGCAGAACUCGCAGUCAAGCCUGAGGCUUGUCUCAGCCUCCCUGAAGUACACACUUGCAGCUAUGGCGCGUCGACGCGAUAUCUGAAAGCUCCGCGUAAUCAAGAUCAGUGGUGUGCGGCGCCGUGGAGCCGCAAAGCAUCUGGACAGUGACGCCUCAGCAAAGCAGUGGAGCCCAACUGGCCUCAGUAAUUCGAAAGGAAUCUUCUCUCAAAUUGAAUAUUCACA